AGGACGAACGCUGGCGGCGCGCUUAAUACAUGCAGGUCGAGCGAGAACCGGACCUUCGGGUCCGGGGAAAGCGGCGAACGGGUGAGUAACACGUGGGUAAUCUGCCCUCGGUACUGGGAUAGCCCGGGGAAACCCGGAUUAAUACCGGAUAGCCUUUCGAGCUCUCGGGCUCGUUAGAAAAUGGUGGCUUCGGCUUCCGACUGAGGAUGACGCCCGCGGCGGAUUAGCUUGUUGGUGAGGUAAUGGCUCACCAAGACUCCGAUCCGUAGCUGGUCUGAGAGGACGAUCAGCCACACUGGGACUGAGACACGG
rnacentral:rRNA from 1 species